rnacentral:rRNA from 1 species
ACAGGGCACAAUUCUUGAUGGAUUUUAACGAAACUUCGUAUGAGUGUUUGUAAUCACCCAAGGAUAAACCCUAUUGAAAAUCAGCGAAAUCGAAAAAUAUUUAGUAUGAAUUAAUGCCCUUGUUCUUGAAAACACGUUCAAUUUUUAGCUCGUAAUCACUCUACAGGGCACAAUUCUUGAUGGAUUUUAACGAAACUUCGUAUGAGUGUUUGUAAUCACCCAAGGAUAAACCCUAUUGAAAAUCAGCGAAAUCGAAAAAUAUUUAGUAUGAAUUAAUGCCCUUGUUCUUGAAAACACGUUCAAUUUUUAGCUCGUAAUCACUCUACAGGGCACAAUUCUUGAUGGAUUUUAACGAAACUUCGUAUGAGUGUUUGUAAUCACCCAAGGAUAAACCCUAUUGAAAAUCAGAAGAAUCGAAAAAUAUGUAGUAUGAAUUAUUGCCCUUGUUCUUGAAAACGCGUUCAAUUUUUAGCUCGUAAACACUCUAGGAGGCACAAUUCUUGACAGACUCUACAAGUCACAAUUUUUUUGUUCAUAAUCACAAUUUACAAUAGAUGUCAUUAUUUUCCUGAGAAACUAUUUUGGUUAACAAAUAAGAAAAUUUAAUUUAAUCAUUUAACAUGUCCCUAACCAGCCACCAUACAUGUACAGCAUCAUAAGAUACUAUAAAUAGACCAAGUGGAAAAUCCAAGACAGAUAUCCAAUCAUAGCUUAGUCAUGUGACAUCCCAAGAUGCAGCAGUUUAUCUGAUUUCAUUUUAUAAAUGUCAUUCAAGAGAAAAGGUUUGCUUAAUCAUUUCAUUUUCACCAAUUGUGCUGAUACAAAAAAUACAAAACAAUGUGUACUUGCUGUAAAACUUCAUUUCAAAGUAUUUCUCGAUUUUAUGUCAACAAGUGCUAGAAAAUAACUAGUAAUUCUUAUUGUAUAUUACCAUUUUCAAUACAUUGCAAUUAUUUUGAUUCUCUUUGCGCUUCAAUUCUAAUCAUUAUUAAUCACUCUACAGCAUUAUUCAUGUGAUUUUAAUUCAGCUUGAGUGUUUAGUGACUAAAUUCUUUUUCACAAAAAGGUUUUUGGAGAUACACAACUUGAUAUUGGUCUGGAGAUGCACAACUUGAUAUUGGUCUGGAGAUGCACAACUUGAUAUUGGUCUGAUUCUUGAGAGGUUGAUAUUAAGUAGCUUUUUUAACAAAUUGAAAAGAUUAUAUGAUUACAUUUCGAACAUUUCAACUUCAACUUUGACAAUAAACUGAGGUCAAGAAUCAAUUACCAAAUUGAAAUCUAUUAUUGAAAACAGGCUACUGAUCAAAAAUUUUAAUGAAGAAAUCUUCUGAUUUCCGUCUAUUGAUGUAUAUGGUUGUAUAAAUUUGUCAUUUAUUGAUAUCUGGUUCAUAGAAUUUCUAAAAUGUAUAAUCAUCACAUAUAAUCUGAUGUGACUUGUCCAAUUACCAUGUAGCAAAUCAUGUUGAAAAAAACAAAUUUAACUGACUUUUAAUCAUUUACAAAACUUGAUAAUCAAAAUUAUAUAUUGAUUAUUUUUGCCCAGUCCUAAGUAGUCACAUGAUCAUAAGUAUAUUUCAUAGAUUUGUGUUAGUGUACAUAUUAUUAUUUUCAUAACUGUUGUUUUUACACAGUGCUUUGUAUUUAUUGCUUUGUUUUCGAAAUGACUAUUUUUGCAGUUUGCACUUCGGGAGAAGGAUUGGCUCUGAGGGCCGAGCGACCCGCUGCUAGCUUCGGAAGAGGGAAUCAUAGAGCGGGAGUCCGCGAGGUGGCAUAUUAAUUUGGACUUGUGCGCACCGAACGGCGAACGUUCUACCCUCGGAAGGGCAGGCGGACGGAGCGGGGUAGGGAUGACUCUCCCCGUUUUCGGCACGGGCGCGAGGAAAGGCUCGAUCAGAACUGGCACGGUCCGGGGGAAUCCGACUGUUUAGUAAAAACAUAGCGUCUCGAAGGCCGGAGAUCGGUGUUGACGGGACGUGAUUUCUGCCCAGUGCUCUGAAUGUCACGGUGAAGAAAUUUACGGAAGCGCGGGUAAACGGGGGGAGUAACUAUGACUCUCUUAAGGUAGCCAAAUGCCUCGUCAUGUAAUUAGUGACGCGCAUGAAUGGAUUAACGAGAUUCCCACUGUCCCUAUCUACUAUCUAGCGAAGCCACAGCCGGAGGAACGGGUCCGGGGCUGUCAGCGGGGAAAGAAGACCCUGUUGAGCUUGAUUCGCGAUUGGCUUGGUUGGGCGAGAGCGCAGGUGUAGCUUAGGUGGGAUUGCUUUACGGCGCAAGUGAAAGACCACUACUGCGUUCCUCGUUCAACUCACUCGAUGAGGACCACGAGAGCGGCUGCAUUCGGGGCGGUGUCGGCGAGCGCAAGGUGCUAAGCGAGGGGUCCCCCGCGCUAAGGGCGCUUCGUCGGUUUCGGCCGGCGGGGUGUUCUGCGGGACCAGGUCUCUCGCGAGGGCGAUCAAGGACAGAGUCAGUUCUGAAUUUAACUGGGGCGGUGUGCCCGCGAAACUCUAGCGCGGGCGCCCCAAGGCCAGCUUCAGAAGGGGGAGAAACCCUUGGUAGAGCGAAAGGGCAAAUGCUGGCUUGAGGAUGCUUUUCAGUAGGAGGGAUCCGUGUGAAAGCAAGGCCUAUCGAUCCUUUGUGUCGCCCUUAGGGCGACGAUGGGAGAGCUCUAUUUUUACUGCUUCCCGCAAGAGGUGUCAGAAAAGUUACCACAGGGAUAACUGGCUUGUGGCAGCCAAGCGUUCUUAGCGACGUUGCUUUUUGAUCCUUCGAUGUCGGCUCUUCCUAUCAUUGCGAAGCAGAAUUCGCCAAGUGUUGGAUUGUUCACCCACCAACAGGGAACGUGGGCUGGGUUUAGACCGUCGUGAGACAGGUUAGUUUUACCCUACUGGUAGGGAACUCUUUACGAACGAGCGGCUACGAGCGGGUAGGACUGACUAGUACGAGAGGAACGUUGGUCCGGGAUUGAAAGCGUUGGUGCUUGGUGGUUUAUUGCCAUUGGGGCUUUGCCUUUGUCCUGGGGCUUACGGCUGAACGCCUCUAAGCCGGAAUCCCGUCCCACGACGUCCGCGUCUGCUUUUCCGAGACGGGCGACAGAACGAUUAGGCCCCUCCUCGCUCUUCCCGAGUGACUGGGGUGGUGUGUGUCCGACCUGUAUAUUUCGGCAGGUGUCUUUCGAAAGCAGGAAAGAAAGAAUCGUAUCUAUC